GACGUAGGGUCCAAGCGUUUGUCCGGAUUUACUGGGCGUAAAGAGCGCGUAGGCGGCUCGUUAAGUGUGAAGUGAAAUCUCCAGGGCUCAACCCGGAAACUGCUUUACAUACUGGCGAGCUGGAGUGAUGCAGAGGUUUGUGGAAUUCCUGGUGUAACGGUGAAAUGUGUUGAUAUCAGGAGGAACACCCAUGGCGAAGGCGGCUUUCUGGGACGGUACUGACGCUGAGACGCGAAAGCGUGGGGAGCGAACAGG
rnacentral:rRNA from 1 species